rnacentral:lncRNA from 1 species
CUCCUAAAAAGAUGUUUAUUAGUUCAGUGAAAAUGGAUGUCAUACUAAACAUAUACCUGAAAAUGAACUAAAAUAGAAAAUCCUACAAGAUUAACAAAGGCCAGAGGCUCCUGACUUGAGACAGGCGGGGUUAUAUAUGAGUGAGAUCUCAACCCUCCUGCUAUACCUCUAGCCAAUGUAGAAAAACAAACAGAAAGCAAUACACCGCAGUCAGUUUAAAAGAUGUCAAAGUCC